UAAUAAUUGUAAAACAAAUACGGUAUUUUUUCAACUUUUCUUCGUCGUGGUCGUGAUUGACGUGACCUUUAAAAACGUUUUCAGAUGCUGUGUUUCCUAUCAAAUGGACAUUCCCUGAUGCUUUAAUUCAUCGUAAGUUCAGUAUCAAGUCAGAUGUAUGGUCAUACGGUGUUCUCCUGUAUGAGAUGAUCAACUUUGGUAAUGAACCAAGCUCAGGGUUUCUCUUGAAAGUAGUACACUUUACUUGAGUUCAAGUUCAGUAUCAAGUCAGAUGUAUGGGCAUACGGUGUUAUCCUGUAUGAGAUGAUCAGCUUUGGUAAUGAGCCAUAUUCAGGGACUUAACUCUUUGAAGAAAGGGAACAACUUGCCUAAAACCACGGAUGGUCCCAUUCCGUGCCCAGACCCAUUUUACGAGCUCAUGUUGACGUGCUGGAACCGAAAGCCUGAGAACCGACCAACCUUCGACUACCUUCGAGAUUUUUCAACGACUAUGCAGUAUAUACAGAAAAUUAUUAUCAAAAUUUGUGUUAUUGGAAGUGAUAAUAUAUAAAUGUUGAAAUUUUAAAUAGCACAAAGGCAAUAACAGUAAAAAUACUGUAUCGUUAUUAUCAGCAUCAUUAUGAAUAUCAUCAUUUUUAUCAGUAUGGAUAUGACUGAUGUUUUAUUAAAAUCAAUAACGCACUUCUGUGAGCACAUCCUAUCGAUGAUUGUAAGUUACAAUUUAUGAUUUUUUGGUAAUGCACUAUUCAAAGAAUAUUUUGAUAUAAUUGUGUCGUACUAGCAUAAUUAAACUAGAA